rnacentral:rRNA from 1 species
AGUCGAGCGAGAAGCUACCUUCGGGUAGUGGACAGCGGCGCACGGGUGAGUAACGCGUACACAAUCUACCUUAUAGAGGAGAAUAGCCCUGGGAAACUGGGAUUAAUGCUCCAUAGUAUUACACUUUGGCAUCAAGGUGUAAUUAAAGCUCCGGCGCUAUAAGAUGAGUGUGCGUACUAUUAGCUAGUUGGUAAGGUAACGGCUUACCAAGGCUACGAUAGUUAGGGGGCGUGAGAGCGUGACCCCCACACGGGUACUGAGACACGGACCCGACUCCUACGGGAGGCAGCAGUAAGGAAUAUUGGACAAUGGGCGCAAGCCUGAUCCAGCCAUCCCGCGUGGAGGAUGACUGCCCUAUGGGUUGUAAACUCCUUUUAUUUGAGAAGAAACGCCUGGAUUUAUCCGGGCCUGACGGUAUCUUAUGAAUAAGCACCGGCUAACUCCGUGCCAGCAGCCGCGGUAAUACGGAGGGUGCAAGCGUUAUCCGGAAUCACUGGGUUUAAAGGGUGCGUAGGUGGUUUAGUAAGUCAGAUGUGAAAGCCCGGCGCUCAACGUCGGAAUUGCAUUUGAUACUGCUGAACUUGAAUCAGGUUGAGGUGGGCGGAAUGUGGCAUGUAGCG